ensembl:snoRNA SNORA70 Small nucleolar RNA SNORA70
CUGCAGGCAAUUAAGCUGACCAUACUCCUUUCCCCAUGGGGGCCUGGUGUGCAAUGGCUGCAAACAGCAGCCUCCUUGGUAGUGUAUGCAGCCUGUGGCUUGUAUGGGUUGCUAGGACCUUGGAGACAGUC